CCUACGGGUGGCAGCAGUGGGGGAUAUUGCACAAUGGGGGGAACCCUGAUGCAGCGACGCCGCGUGAGCGAAGAAGUACCUCUGUAUGUAAAGCUCUAUCAGCAGGGAAGAAAAUGACGGUACCUGACUAAGACGCCCAGGCUAAAUACGUUCCAGCAGCCGCGGUACUACGUAGGGGGCAAGCGUUAUCCGGAUUUAAUGGGUGUAAAGGGAGCGCAGGCGGCCUGCCAAGUCUGGUGUGAAAUCCCGAGGCUCAACCCCGGGCCGGCAUUGGAAACUGGCGGGCUGGAGUGUAGUAGGGGCAGGCGGAAUGUAUGGUGUAGCGGUGAAAUGCGUAGAGAUUAGGAAGAACACCGGUGGCGAAGGCGGCCUACUGGACGAUGACUGACGCUGAGGCUCGAAAGCGUGGGGAGCAAACAGGAUUAGAUACCCGAGUAGUC
rnacentral:rRNA from 1 species